GUAGUCUCGCACAGAUGCAUAUCAAUAAGCGGAGGAAAAGAAACUAACAAGGAUUCCCCUAGUAACGGCGAGUGAAGCGGGAAGAGCUCAAAUUUGAAAUCUUAAAGGGUUUCCCUUUACGAAUUGUAGUUUAAAGAAGUGUUUUCUGUUGAAGGUUUUGGUAAAAGUUCUUUGGAAUAGGACAUCAUAGAGGGUGAGAAUCCCGUAUUUGACCAUUUACUUUUCAACUUUGUGAUACACUUUCAAAGAGUCGGAUUGUUUGGGAAUGCAAGUCCAAAAUGGGUGGUAAAUUUCAUCUAAAGCUAAAUAUUGGCGAGAGACCGAUAGCGAACAAGUACCGUGAGGGAAAGAUGAAAAGAACUUUGAAAAGAGAGUUAAACAGUACGUGAAAUUGUCAAAAGGGAAGCGUUUGACACCAGUGUUGUUUUCUCGAAAAUCAAUUAAAAAGAGUUAGAUUUUGUUGUGUAUUGACCUUAACAGCUUGCAUUUCAAUUUUCUUGCUUUUUUUAAUGCACUUUUCGUUUAACAAGUCAACAUCAGUUUCUUUUGUUGUAAAAAGGUCAUUGGAAGGUGGCUUUCUUUUCGGAGAAAGUGUUUAUAGCCUUUGACUCCUGCAAUCGGAGAGACUGAGGUCUGCAGCGUAGAUCCUUCGGGGUUAGAUACAUUUGUGCUAAGUUAUAGCUUUUUAUAGACAACUUGUUGACUAUGAUUAGUCUUGUAGCUUACUCGCUUAUGCUAUUUUACCUACGCUUAGGAUGUUGAGCGCAUGUCUCUCUCU
rnacentral:rRNA from 1 species